UUCGGGAGCUUGUACAGGUGCUGCAUGGCUGUCGUCAGCUCGUGUCGUGAGAUGUUCGGUUAAGCCCGCUAACCGAGCGCAACCCUCGCUGUGUGUUACAAGUGUCACACGGAACUGCCGGUCAUAAACCGGAGGAAGGUGGGGAUGACGUCAAGUCAGCAUGGCCUUUAUAUCCUGGGCUACACACACGCUACAAUGGGAAGGGACAAUAGGUUGCGAAGCCGCGAGGUGGAGCCAAUCCAGUAAAAACUUCCCUCAGUUCAGAUUGCAGGCUGCAACUCGCCUGCAUGAAGUUGGAGUUGCUAGUAAACGCAGGUCAGCCAUACUGCGUUGAAUACGUUCCCGGGGCUU
rnacentral:rRNA from 1 species